GUGUGUCUUCCCCUUCCCCGGGCCUGGGGGGAAUCCAGGUGGGGCAGCGGCCGGAUCUCAGCCCUGAAUAGUCACCGAGUUCUGCUCUGCGCGGUGUUUUCUCCUGGUCCUUAUCAGAUGCCAUUGGUCUCGCUGCAACAUUUGGGGCACCGAAGCCAACUUGACCUGCCUGAUGCAAACAUCUGGAUUCCAGGGGAACUACCAGGGCCAGUGGCUGAAGGCACAAGCAUCGAAUCACCAGCUCUUCAGACUCCAGUGAGAAGAGUGGUCCCUGGAGGAGUGAAGCAACCGGUCCACGUUCAGACAAUGAGCUGGAGGCGGGGUGAUUUCUUUCUCAAGGCUCCUCUUCCCAGUGCAACCAACCACCAGGGGAAAAGGCAAAAAUGAGAGGUAGAAUGACCUUUCAUGGGGAUUCCUCUUCUGGGGAAAUGGAAUGGGGUUUACUUCUUGAAUUUUCAGGGCACACUUUGUAAUGUAGUAUAACCAUGAGGAUUUCUCAGUUUACAUCACAGAUAAAUGAAUAAUAAUACUGAGAUGGUAGUGAAAACAUAUUUACUAAUAAACAUAUUUAAUUGAAACUGAUUUGCAUGCUUUAACUAACAAUUUUUACUUAUUUUUCAUGCAGUUGUUAUCACUUUCGUUUUUAGAAAUAUUUUAUAUUACAGAACAGCUCUAUGCAAUUUUGUGUCCUGUUAAGAAUCUUG
rnacentral:lncRNA from 1 species